rnacentral:rRNA from 1 species
UGGUUGAUCCUGCCAGUAGGCAUAUGCUUGUCUCAAGAUUAAGCCAUGCAUGUCUAAGCACAUGCCUUAAUACGGUGAAGCCGCGAAUAGCUCAUUACAACAGCCACCGUUUAUUAGAAUAUCGUUAUCCUACUUGGAUAACUGUGGCAAUUCUAGAGCUAAUACAUGCAAAAAAGCUCCGCCCGCGAGGAACGAGCGCAUUUAUUAGAAUAAAAACCAAUCGGGUCUCGGCCCGUAAUUUGGUGAAUCUGAAUAACUUUGCCAAUCGCACGGUCCUAGUACCGGCGAUGUAUCUUUCAAGUGUCUGCCUUAUCAACUUUCGAUGGUAGGUUAUACGCCUACCAUGGUAGUAACGGGUAACGGAGAAUAAGGGUUCGACUCCGGAGAGGGAGCCUGAGAAACGGCUACCACAUCCAAGGAAGGCAGCAGGCGCGCAAAUUACCCACUUCCAGAACGGAGAGGUAGUGACGAAAAAUAACGAGACAGUCCUCUUCGAGGUCUGUCAUCGGAAUGGGUACAAUUUAAAUCCUUUAACGAGGAUCUAUUGGAGGGCAAGUCUGGU